rnacentral:rRNA from 1 species
AUUGAACGCUGGCGGCAUGCCUUACACAUGCAAGUCGAACGGCAGCACGGGAGCAAUCCUGGUGGCGAGUGGCGAACGGGUGAUUAAUAUAUCGGAACGUGCCCAGUCGUGGGGGAUAACGCAGCGAAAGCUGUGCUAAUACCGCAUACGAUCUAUGGAUGAAAGCGGGGGAUCGCAAGACCUCGCGCGAUUGGAGCGGCCGAUAUCAGAUUAGGGAGUUGGUGGGGUAAAGGCUCACCAAGCCGACGAUCUGUAGCUGGUCUGAGAGGACGACCAGCCACACUGGAACUGAGACACGGUCCAGACUCCUACGGGAGGCAGCAGUGGGGAAUUUUGGACAAUGGGCGCAAGCCUGAUCCAGCAAUGCCGCGUGCAGGAUGAAGGCCUUCGGGUUGUAAACUGCUUUUGUACGGAGCGAAAAGGCUCUCUCUAAUACAGGGGGCUCAUGACGGUACCGUAAGAAUAAGUACCGGCUAACUACGUGCCAGCCGCCGCAGUAAAAC